GACGAACGCUGGCGGCGUGCCUAAUACAUGCAAGUCGAACGCUUCUUUCCUCCCGAGUGCUUGCACUCAAUUGGAAAGAGGAGUGGCGGACGGGUGAGUAACACGUGGGUAACCUACCCAUCAGAGGGGGAUAACACUUGGAAACAGGUGCUAAUACCGCAUAACAGUUUAUGCCCCAUGGCAUAAGAGUGAAAGGCGCUUUCGGGUGUCGCUGAUGGAUGGACCCGCGGUGCAUUAGCUAGUUGGUGAGGUAACGGCUCACCAAGGCCACGAUGCAUAGCCGACCUGAGAGGGUGAUCGGCCACACUGGGACUGAGACACGGCCCAGACUCCUACGGGAGGCAGCAGUAGGGAAUCUUCGGCAAUGGACGAAAGUCUGACCGAGCAACGCCGCGUGAGUGAAGAAGGUUUUCGGAUCGUAAAACUCUGUUGUUAGAGAAGAACAAGGACGUUAGUAACUGAACGUCCCCUGACGGUAUCUAAUCAGAAAGCCACGGCUAACUACGUGCCAGCAGCCGCGGUAAUACGUAGGUGGCAAGCGUUGUCCGGAUUUAUUGGGCGUAAAGCGAGCGCAGGCGGUUUCUUAAGUCUGAUGUGAAAGCCCCCGGCUCAACCGGGGAGGGUCAUUGGAAACUGGGAGACUUGAG
rnacentral:rRNA from 1 species